rnacentral:tRNA from 1 species
GAAGCAGUAGCUCAGGGGUUAGAGCAUGAAACAGCACUGGAAUUACCUUGCCAGGUCAACUGGUGCUUACUUCUUGGAUUUUAGGGUCGUUGGUUCGAAUCCAACCUGCUUCA